AGGCUGUCACAACGACAGCAAACCGGAUUUAUUAACAUUUAUUUGUGUCCUGGCAAUAUCACAAGAACCAUAACUGAUGAAUGGUGAAAGUGAAAAUCAUCAAUAUCAAAUCUGACCUCCAUUUUGUCAUCAGUAUCAACAUAUUAAAAUUUGAAAAGCUUAGAUUGAAUGGUUCAUGAGUAAAUGCAACAACGUGAAUGGAAACGCCAUUUUACGAUCUUUCAAGAACCAUAACUCCUGAAAGGUAAAAGUCAAAAUCGUCAUUAUUAAACUUGACCUCUAUUUUGUCAUCAGUAACAACAUAUUAAAAUUUCAAAAGCUUUGGUUGAAUGGUUCAUGAGAAAAUGCACGGACACGACGGGAAACACCAUUUUUCAAUCUUUCAAGAACCAUAACUCCUGAACGGUAAAAGUCAAAAUCGUCAUUAUUGAACUUGACCUCCAUUUUGUCAUCAGUAACAGCAUAUUAAAAUUUCGGAAGCUUUGGUAGAACAGUUCAUGCGUAAAUGCACGGACACGACUGGAAACUCCAUUUUUUCAAUCUUUCAAGAACCAUAACUCCUGAACGGUAAAAGUCAAAAUUGUCAUUAUUGAACUUGACCUCCAUUCUGUCAUCAGUAACAACAUAUUAAAAUUUGGGAAGCUUUGGUAGAACAGUUCAUGCGUAAAUGCACGGACACGACUGGAAACUCCAUUUUUCAAUCUUUCAAGAACCAUAACUCCUGAACGGUAAAAGUCAAAAUCGCCAUUAUUGAACUUGACCUUCGUAUAGUUGUCAGUAAUAACAUAUUAAAAUUUUAAAAGCUUUGGUUGAACGGUUCAUGAGUUAAUGCACGGACAACAUUUGAUUGAAGCCCGC
rnacentral:lncRNA from 1 species